UCGAAACCCAACCAGACCCAAAUUAUUGCUUUAGGUAUUAAGCUUUUCAGGCCAGGUCGAGUUGGAACACACUGCCUUAUGAUUCCGGUUGGGUAACGUCGAAACCCAACCCAUUGACAGCCCUAACAGCAUCCAUUUGAACAACUAUAUUUGCUGAAUUUAUGACCACAUUUUUGGUUUUGGUUUCUUGAACAGUGUCAUGUAGUUACUGAGAUGAACAGUUAUUAUGUAAUUACUGAUCUAGCUUUCAGAGCGAAUGACUAGACCAUGGGUUACGGAUACUUCAACAUGUCCCAACCAUUACCAGAGAUUAAUGUGUGUUUAUCUGGCCUUCUCUGGAACUUCUUAAGGAAGGUUCUCUCUUUUACCAUCACUUUCGCCGGAAUGUAAUGGAAGUUUUGCCCUUGUGCCCUUCUGGACCUUAUCCUUAACAGUGACAAGACUAUCCUGCAUCUUUCUAUUGGAAGCUGGCAGCCCUCACAAAGACCCUUUUCCCGAAAAUGGAGACUGUGUACUACCUUCACAACUUUAAAGGAAUGAGAGGAGGAACCCUCUUUAGAUGCUAACCUGGCCCAUGGAAGGUUCUCAGAAGAGUCGGAAACCAGUACAUGACUUUGCAUCAGCAGGAAGCGAUGCCCUCCUCAAGGAAGUCGCCUUGAACAUUCUGCCCUUGUCUUGAGCAUUCGAAACAUUGUAUGUAACAGAUAAUACUGAUGCUUAUGUACAGAAACAUGCAACAUGGCCGCACGAUGGUUAUCUUUCAGUUUUUGUUUCCUCUGAUGGCCAUAGUACACUCGAUCCUAAGUCCGAACAUGCCAAUUCGAGUGUCAAGCAGAGUUUAUGAAUGUGAUGAUAGAUCUUGUUUA